GUGUGGAGUUUGAUCCCCUCUUUAUGAUUACCUGCUGGAUGGCUGUGUGGCACUUCAACCCAGGCCUCGCCAUGUUUUUAGGCCUGGCAUACAUGUAUGCCCGUCACCAGUACUAUUCUGCACAUUCCAAAGCUGCUCAAGAAAGACAAAACUGUGUGGUGUUUGAUCCCAUAUUUAUGGUUACAUUCUGGAUGGCUGUGUGGCAUUUCAAUCAAGGU